UACGUAGGUGGCAAGCGUUGCCCGGAUUUACUGGGCGUAAAGGAUGCGUAGGUGGAUAUGCAAGUCAGAUGUGAAAUACCCGGGCUUAACUCGGGUGCUGCAUUUGAAACUAUAUAUCUAGAGUGCAGGAGAGGUAAGUGGAAUUCCUAGUGUAGCGGUGAAAUGCGUAGAGAUUAGGAAGAACACCAGUGGCGAAGGCGACUUACUGGACUGUAACUGACACUGAGGCAUGAAAGCGUGGGGAGCAAACAG
rnacentral:rRNA from 1 species